AACGGGUGAGUAACACGUGGGUAACCUGCCCAUCAGAAGGGGAUAACACUUGGAAACAGGUGCUAAUACCGUAUAACAAUCGAAACCGCAUGGUUUCGGUUUGAAAGGCGCUUUUGCGUCACUGAUGGAUGGACCCGCGGUGCAUUAGCUAGUUGGUGAGGUAACGGCUCACCAAGGCAACGAUGCAUAGCCGAUCUGAGAGGGUGAUCGGCCACAUUGGGACUGAGACACGGCCCAAACUCCUACGGGAGGCAGCAUG
rnacentral:rRNA from 1 species